GAUGAAGAACGCAGCGAAAUGCGAUACGUAAUGUGAAUUGCAGAUCUCUCAGUGAACCAUCGAAUUUUUGAACGCACAUAGCGCCCGCCGGUCAUUCCGGCGGGCAUGCCUGUCCGAGCGUCGAUGACGCCGCUCGAGCCCCCGUGCUCGGUGUUGGGGCGCUAGGUCUCCCAGAGGCCUAGGCCCCCAAGUAGCAGUGCGCGGUCCGGCUGCGGGCCCCGGGUACAGUAACUUCACCGUUGAGAUGCCCUGGGAGCCGCUGGCCGGGUCAGCCGUAAAACCCCCGACAUAGGCCUCUCUGCCCGCCCCCGGCGGGGGGGGAGACCGCCUAAUGUUGACCUCGGAUCAGGUAGGACUACCCGCUGAACUUAAGCAUAUCAAUAAGCGGAGGA
rnacentral:misc_RNA from 1 species